AUGCUUGUCCAGCAGACCGCUCGCCAACUACACAACCUGCAGGCACCUAGGGUGCUCCUCAAGCUCGACAUCGCGCGCGCUUUCGACACGGUCUCCUGGCCCUUCGUCAUUGACGUCCUUCGUCACCUGGGCUUCGGUAGGCGCUGGAUCGAAUGGAUCACCAUCCUACUCUCCACCUCCAGCACACGCGUUCUCAUCAACGGGUCCCCUGGCCCCCCGAUCACCCUCGCCUGCGGCCUGCAGCAAGGAGACCCUAUCUCCCGGAUGCUAUUCACGAUGGCCAUCGAUGUCCUCAACUCCUUACUUGUGCAUGCCCAUCAGCAUGGACUUAUGCAACAUCUCACUGCCCGCCAUGCUGCAUCGAGCAUUUCUAUCUACGCCGACGACGUCGUCGUUUUCUGCCAACCCUCCCCCCGUGACCUACGGGUCAUUUGUGAGCUACUGCGAGUCUUUGGGGCGGCAUCCGGGCUUUGCACUAACUUCUCGAAGUGCUCGGCCACGCCCAUUCACUGUGGGGAUGAGGAGAUCGCAUGCAUCCAGAGCGUGAUGGCCUGCGCCGUGGUGAGCUUCCCCAUCGUCUACCUCGGCAUGCCCCUAUCCGUGCGGAAGCCGUCGUCGUCUUCCUUGCUGCCCAUCGUCGAAAAGUUGUCUAAGAAGCUAUCAACAUGG
rnacentral:rRNA from 1 species